rnacentral:snoRNA from 1 species
CGGCCCGGCGUCUGCCCGCCCCGGGGAGGAUGAACCGGGGAUUCCUGUCGGGCCGACAGGGGGAUGACGAGCUUUUGCUUUGCCGAACCGUGACGAGCACGCCCUUCACCGACCCCCUUCCUCCAA